rnacentral:rRNA from 1 species
CCUACGGGCGGCAGCAGUGAGGAAUAUUGGUCAAUGGACGAGAGUCUGAACCAGCCAAGUAGCGUGAAGGAUGACUGCCCUAUGGGUUGUAAACUUCUUUUAUAAAGGAAUAAAACGCGGCACGUGUGCCUUUUUUCAUGUACUUUAUGAAUAAGGAUCGGCUAACUCCGUGCCCGCAGCCGCGGUAAUACGGAGGAUCCGAGCGUUAUCCGGAUUUAUUGGGUUUAAAGGGAGCGUAGAUGGGUUGUUAAGUCAGUUGUGAAAGUUUGCGGCUCAACCGUAAAAUUGCAAUUGAUACUGGCAUUCUUGAGUACAGGUGAGGUAGGCGGAAUGCGUGGUGUAGCGGUGAAAUGCAUAGAUAUCACGAAGAACCCCGAUUGCGAAGGCAGCAUACUAGACUGUGACUGACAUUGAUGCACGAAAGUGUGGGUAUCAAACAGGAUUAGAUACCCCAGUAGUC